UAGAGGUGCCGGAUUCACUGACAGCACCUGUCACCAGAGAGGAGUGCAACAGAAAUGCAAGCAUCCAUCAGAUAGCUCCACCAAGGCACACUCUGACCUGAAGGGAACACUUAUAAGGGUAAGAGGGGAGUUCAGUCCCUACAGACCAAUCAAUCCCUGACUUGU
ensembl:misc_RNA